rnacentral:rRNA from 1 species
AUGAGCAAUGCAAACAGUAGUGCAGGUGGAAGAAUCAGUAUGUACCUAUCGUCGUCCGUCGGAGUGAUUUCCAGGGGCCGAUCGCCGGCGGCAUCGAAUCGCCUCCUUGCACCCCGUCCAUGUCCAGUCAAAGAGCGAGCACAGGGAGGCGAGAGAGACGGAAGUCCUAUUCACGGGUGGAGCAGUACACCUACGAAGUCAAUGGCUGUAACAUACAUCUGCCACGGUAAUAGGUACAGCAAAGCUGGAUUGCGUGACGGGUAUCUCGAGGUACAGCGCACAGAUUCAAACGCGGCCCCUGUGCAGAUGCUCUAA